UACGUAGGGUGCAAGCGUUGUCCAGAAUUAUUGGGCGUAAAGAGCUCGUAGGCGGUCUGUCGCGUCGGCUGUGAAAUCCCGAGGCUCAACCUCGGGUCUGCAGUCGAUACGGGCAAACUAGAGUAUUGCAGGGGAGACUGGAAUUCCUGGUGUAGCGGUGAAAUGCGCAGAUAUCAGGAGGAACACCGGUGGCGAAGGCGGGUCUCUGGGCAAUAACUGACGCUGAGGAGCGAAAGCGUGGGGAGCGAACAGG
rnacentral:rRNA from 1 species